rnacentral:rRNA from 1 species
GAACCUACGGGGGGCAGCAGUGGGGAAUAUUGCACAAUGGGCGCAAGCCUGAUGCAGCGACGCCGCGUGAGGGAUGACGGCCUUCGGGUUGUAAACCUCUUUCGCUAGGGACGAAGCGUAAGUGACGGUACCUGGAGAAGAAGCACCGGCCAACUACGUGCCAGCAGCCGCGGUAAUACGUAGGGUGCGAGCGUUGUCCGGAAUUACUGGGCGUAAAGAGCUCGUAGGCGGUUUGUCGCGUCGUCUGUGAAAUUCUGCAACUCAAUUGCAGGCGUGCAGGCGAUACGGGCAGACUUGAGUACUACAGGGGAGACUGGAAUUCCUGGUGUAGCGGUGAAAUGCGCAGAUAUCAGGAGGAACACCGGUGGCGAAGGCGGGUCUCUGGGUAGUAACUGACGCUGAGGAGCGAAAGCGUGGGGAGCGAACAGGAUUAGAUACCCCAGUAGUCAUC